CCUAAGGUAGCGAAAUUCCUUGUCGGGUAAGUUCCGACCUGCACGAAUGGCGUAAUGAUGGGGGCGCUGUCUCCACCCGAGACUCAGUGAAAUCGAAAUCGCAGUGAAGAUGCUGUGUACCCGCGGCUAGACGGAAAGACCCCGUGAACCUUUACUAUAGCUUCACAGUGGACUUUGAACCUGUUUGUGUAGGAUAGCUGGGAGACUUUGAAGCAGUGACGCUAGUCAUUGUGGAGUCGUCCUUGAAAUACCAGCCUGGCAUGUUUGAGGUUCUAACCUGGGUCCCUUAUCGGGAUCGGGGACAUUGUGUGGUGGGUAGUUUGACUGGGGCGGUCUCCUCCCAAAGAGUAACGGAGGAGCACAAAGGUACCCUCAGCACGGUCGGACAUCGUGCAACGAGCGUAAAGGUAGAAGGGUGCUUGACUGCGAGACUUACAAGUCGAGCAGGUGCGAAAGCAGGUCUUAGUGAUCCGGUGGUUCUGUAUGGAAGGGCCAUCGCUCAACGGAUAAAAGGUACUCCGGGGAUAACAGGCUGAUACCGCCCAAGAGUUCAUAUCGACGGCGGUGUUUGGCACCUCGAUGUCGGCUCAUCUCAUCCUGGGGCUGAAGCCGGUCCCAAGGGUAUGGCUGUUCGCCAUUUAAAGAGGUACGCGAGCUGGGUUUAGAACGUCGUGAGACAGUUCGGUCCCUAUCUGCCGUGGGCGUUGGAGAUUUGAGAGGAGCUGCUCCUAGUACGAGAGGACCGGAGUGGACGAACCUCUGGUGUUCCGGUUGUCACGCCAGUGGCAUUGCCGGGUAGCUACGUUCGGACGGGAUAACCGCUGAAAGCAUCUAAGCGGGAAGCCUCCCUCAAGAUGAGAUCUCCCUGGGGGCUUGACCCCCCUGAAGGGCCGUUGAAGACCACAACGUUGAUAGGCUGGGUGUGGAAGCGUUGUAAGGCGUGAAGCUAACCAGUACUAAUUGCCCGUGAGGCUUGACUAU
rnacentral:rRNA from 1 species